CAAUGCUGUAUGUAAAUGUAUUUUAUACCUAAAAUGUACCAAUAAACUUAAUGAGGGGAAAAUAAAAAAGAUAAAAAAGACCUAGGAAUAUUAGGCUUUUGACAUCCCCAAAGGAACUUCCAGGUAUCAGAUUUAGUAUUCAGUCACAGAAUUACAGCACAUCGUGUUCAGGUAGAGGAUGGCCCUGGCGUUUAACUGCACAAAAAUGCCAAAGUUUUGUGUGUUGUGGUUGCUGAAUUGAAACCCAGUGGGCUGCAAUAGGUUAUCAUGCCAGAAUGAGUUGACUCAAUUGGCAGAAUAGAGGAUGUAGCAAUAAACUCAUGGGUUCUGGAGCCAAGAGAACCGCAGGAGCAUUGUUUGUUUUUUGGUACUGGGGACUGAACUCGGGACCUUGCACUUGCGAGGUAGGAGCCAAAACCACUGAGCUAAAUACCCAACUCCAGGAGUACUAUUUCUGUCAAACGUUUAAACUCCAUACUGACUUGCGAGUGAAACAGAGCUCUAGAGACCACUAGAUGGCGCUGCUACACCAUAUAAAGAAGGCUAGAGGUGCUUCUCAAAGCUAGGGAUUUGCACAAGCCACUCUUCACCAAACUCUGGAGAGAGAAGCAGGGAAGGGAGAGCUCUCUGAGUGAUCAAGCACUGCUUCAGCCUAUAGGGACUGAAUACUUCUUAAAAGUAUAUUCAGAUUGUCAGAUUGGGUUAAGUUUAAACUAGAUCAAACCAUUAAGUUUUGUCUCUUGCUAACCAGCCGAUGGUGAUUUGGGAGGGAUGUCAACUUAUACAGUAAAAUAAAGAAAGUGUAAUGUUUCUAUAAAUCAUCUGAAUUGUAUUGUAAGUCUUGGGUUUUGUCUCUGAUUGUCCUUCUGCUCAGUCAUUGAGAUUUCUCUUUCAAUAGGAUGCCAGAAGAGGAAAGAGGAUUAGAGAACAUCAUACCUUAAAUUUAUCUUUCUCUUUUAUCUCCUUCCUUUCCUAUUUUUGUUUCCUGCUCUGUCCUUGAGUUUGGAAAGGGUAUUUGAGUUUGGAGGGCUCAUGUCCAUGAAGACAUCCUUGACCUCCAGUUAUCUCUUCAUCUUUUGCCAAUAUUUUCAUCUUGUGUUUCUGUGCUAUUAAUCACUUUUUAUUCUGUCUGUUCAUAUUCUUUCUAUCAUUUGAGUAUAUCUCUUAAGAAGUGGAUCUAUGUGUAAUUCAUUUAUAAAGAUCUGAGUUCUUUAAAAAUUCUACAUGUAUAGGAAAUGUUUAGUGUGAAUAGUACCAGUCUCAAGCUGUGCAAAGAUAUAUGUUAACAAAGUUAAUUGCAGUACUGUUUAUAAUGGUGAACAUUUAGGAACUUCAGUUGCCAGUCAGUUGGGGCCUGGUUAAUUACAUACAAAGAAAAAACAUUAAUUGUUAAACUAGAUCAAUAUUUGUUGUUCUAGAAAGAUGUUCAUAGUAGAUUUUUAGUGGAAAAAGAGAUUAUAUAUACAUUUCCAUAUAUGCAAAAUUAUGUGUAUUUAACCUUGUGCCCAUAUUCCUGGAAUAUUAAUGUAUUAAAAUGUUUACAGAAAGUGGUAUUUUGUGUUCUUAAUGUUUUCCCAAGUUUUGGAUUUUUUCAGUGAACCUGUUUUAUUAGAACAAUAAUGAAAAUUUCAAAAAUUUUAUUUCUUAUGUCUUGCUCAGAAUUCUUUAGGUUCUCAUUACAUAGUUGUUCAUCAAAGCAAUUCAAAUGUUUAAGGAACAUUUGGCCAAAUCUGGAGAAAUUUUUGGCUGUUAUAAUUGCUGGCAAUAGUACCAGGAUGUAGUGGGUAGAGUUCAUGGAUGCUGCUAUCCAUCCUAUAAUGCACAGGAUAGUCCCCCACAACAGAGAAUUAUGGGACCUUAAUGUUAACAGCUUUGAGGUUGAAGCGUCUUGAAAUUCUUUAUCCUGAUAAGGCUCAUUACCACCAUCUGGUGGUGGGAGAAGAACCUGCAACUUUUAUAUAGUUUCUCUGGAAAUAAGAUGGGGUAUGAUAAGAAGGAUAGCUAUAGUUAGAGUAGGAGGCAGGGAACGAGCAAGGAAAAUUCAUAGUUGACAGGCUCUUUGGUACUUUUACAGAGACCAGUAGGUUAUUCUGAAGCUAUCGUUGUAGUUUACCUCACAUUACAAUUCCUGUUUUCCAUUCUUACUGGGACUCUCGGGACUCGGAAUAAGUAGAUAUUGAGGCAAGACAGUUUCUGAGUAAACUUUAACUUGAUGCAUGGAGAGAAUCUCUACUUGUACUCAUAGGUGCCUCCCCAGCACAUAGGAUGAUAAAACUUUAGCUCUGUCAGGAAUAUUUCCAGACUGGAAUAGAUAGGACCAAAGCAGGUUUCCUUGCUUUGGCUCCAUUUAACUGUGGCCUCCAUCUCAUUGCUCCAAAUGAAUGCAUUUGAAAAGCCUGGGCUUCUUUCCUUGACCCCACUCCUUCUACCUCCAAUUUAAAGGCCAUGUGGAAAAAAAUACCUAUUCUUGUUCUACUUCUUAAUUGUGUCUUUUUAUGCACUGAUUUUCUAUUUUCUAUGAUCACUUACUAAUGAAUUGCUCACCUAGCAUCUAUGUCUCUUGUCUGCUGCUCUCAACAGGGCUGCAAGCCAUUGCUCACUUCUGUGUCUAGUCACUUCUGGAAGGCCUGCAUUCUCUCACCUCCUGAAAGGAUGCUGCUCUCUUCCUACAGGUGUUGGGGAGAGAAUGUUAUGUAGCCCUUACUUUUUUUUGGUGCUUGUUAUUUAUUGUCUACAACCCUAUUGUUCAAAUCCAUUUGGAUUUAGCAGUCUUUUCGAAGGCCUUCAAGAAUAUUACAGAUUGGUUUCUCCAGAAGCAGAUGCUGAGAAUGUGCAAGAGAUUUAUUAGGGGUCCAUACCUGUAAAAGAAGAGGCAGAAGUAGAAUUGACAGAGGAAGAAAUUGAACUGUGAUGCAGGCCUUACAAACCUUGAGCCAGGUGGGAGCUCUGAAGUGUGUGAAGGCCAUCCAAGUGUCCUGUACGUGGCAGGACUCUCUUAGUCACUGGAUACAGGUUACCCCAUGAAGCACAUAAUCUCAGCUGAAGAGGCUUUCUGCAAUUGAGCCAGAUUUGAAAGAUUCAACAGCUGAAGAAUGGCUGCUUACUUCACACCCCUUAGCUGAGCAGCAUGCCUUUCCUUGAAGGAGGAUCUGGGUGGUACAUUUCUAUUCUUCCACAAAGGAGGUGAUAGAAAUCAUGGUGUAAACUAAGAAAAUUGCUUUCACAAUUCUAAGAGAAAGUACCAAAGAUAGUUAAACUAUUAUGGAGGCUGUUUCAAGGAGGACAUGCCCAGCUUCACAUAUCUUCCAAUUUGGAAUAAACUCAAAUCACUUGGAUCGCACUAAAAAUAAUAAUGACAUUGAGGGCUAUUAGAUAGCUCUUGUAAAAGGAAUCAAACAAUGCUCUUUUACUGUCUUCUUUCCAUUCCUCACUCUGUCUUUGAGGUUUACAGUUUUAAUUUAUUUUAAAAAUUCUACUUAGGGAAAAUAAAAUACAGAUAGAGAAAACAAGGCAAAUGCAUUUGUAACCACUAUUUGGUCAAAUAUAGUACUUGGACCUACUUUUUCAGAACUUAUAAUUGAAUAUGUAGUGUAGACAUAACUACAUUUAAGUAUAAUAGCUAAUAAUACUGUUAAUAACUACUACAAUUACUUUCAUUAAUAUAAUUUUUGUUGGUCCUGUUGCUGCUGCCUAUACUACCAUUACCUAACUCAACACAUUUUACACAUCCCAUGUACAUAUUAUUUGAAGUCAUCCUCACACCUCUAUGAGAUGGGAAACAUUUUACAAAUGAAGAAAAUGAAUCAGAGGUGGCUUAUUUCAUCCAAGGUCACAUAGUUGGAAAAUGGUGGAGGUCCCAGGCACAGCUAAGGAGUCUACCUUCUGAGUUUGGGCUCUUAACUGCAGUUAUGAGGUAGCAUUCCCUAAUUUUCAACACUUGGAUUAGAUCUACUAAUUUACUUCAUCUUGAAUCACUUUCUCAUUUUGCUUCCCCUCUCCUUUGUUUAUUUUCACUGGAAUAACUUCUCCAAUAAAUCAGUUGCAUGUCUUAGGCCUGCUUCUGAGGAAUCCAAGACAUACUGUCUUCCACACUGAUAAAGAAUUAUGGCAGCAACUUUGCUAAGUCAUUAAUUGAUUAGUGUUUGGAAUAGCUGUAACUACCAAGAAAGUGCCAAAAGACUUUGGUAUUAUAAAAUGCAUUUUGAGCUAUUAAAUUAUAAUCACAUUUAUUGUGAGCUAACUAUAUUCUCAAAUGUGAUUUCUCAAGGAGUCCACUGAUUAUUCCUGCCAGUGAAACUCAGGUGAGAUUGUUUCAACCUGUCAAUGUAUUAUAAUAAAAUUAUUCAAAGUAAAGAAGGAACUUGGGAGAGGCAGUAUAACACAAUAACUUGGUGCUUACUGUCCUGUGUACCUUAUGUAUGAUAAUUCCUUUAUUCCCCCAAAAGCAUGAGAAAUCUACCAUUUCAUUGUUUGGGUGUCUGAGCACAGAUAAGUUAUAUGUCCAAGGUCUCACAGGCACAGUUCCUACAAAGAUAGCAGUAUUAGUAGUUAUCAUGUAAGUAUCAGUAAUAAUAUCAUAUUGUCUUCCACUGCCUUGGCCACUUACGCACUAAAACACUAACAUAAAGUGUUGAAGUUUUUCAGAGUUUACUGGAGGGUUGGAAUGAAGAGAAGUACAAUUCUGAGGAAAGGGGAAAAUAAAAUUGUAUGUUUCACAUGUAUUUCUCCAUAGUCCAAAUAAAAGGCAUCCCAAAACUUAAACGGGUCAAUUUUUAGAUACACGUUAUUCUUUAGACUUUCUUGUAUGCAAUUGUGUUUCUAAGAACAAAGACUUCCUUCAAAAUAUUUCAGGGCAGUUUUUCACUUUUAUUUAAUUCACAUCUUUAUUUUUAAGAUUUUGUUUUUCUUGCAGAUAAUUGUAUAUAUUUAUGGGGUACAAAGUGAUUCUUUUAUGUAUGUGUACAUUGGGGAAUGAACAAAUCAGGUAAAUAAAUCCAUUACCUCACAUCUUACUAUUUUUGUGGCAAGAACACAUUUUUAGCAGUUUUUAAAUGUACAUUUAACUAUUGUCAACUUGAUGUGAAAUAGAUCACCAGAACUUACAUCUCUUGUCUAACUGAAGCUUUAUACCCUUCAACCAACAUUUCCCUUUUCCCUUCCCUUCCCUCAGCUUCUAGUAAUCACUACUUUAUUUUUUACUUCUGUGAUUUUUUUUUU
rnacentral:lncRNA from 1 species